rnacentral:rRNA from 1 species
AGGCAGCAGUGGGGAAUAUUGCACAAUGGGCGCAAGCCUGAUGCAGCCAUGCCGCGUGUAUGAAGAAGGCCUUCGGGUUGUAAAGUACUUUCAGCAGUGAGGAAGGUGGGUAUGUUAAUAGCAUACUCAUUUGACGUUAGCUGCAGAAGAAGCACCGGCUAACUCCGUGCCAGCAGCCGCGGUAAUACGGAGGGUGCGAGCGUUAAUCGGAAUUACUGGGCGUAAAGCGCAUGCAGGUGGUUUGUUAAGUCAGAUGUGAAAGCCCCGGGGCUCAACCUCGGAAUUGCAUUUGAAACUGGCAAACUAGAGUACUGUAGAGGGGGUAGAAUUUCAGGUGUAGCGGUGAAAAUGCGUAGAGAUCUGAAGGAAUACCGGUGGCGAAGGCGGCCCCCUGGACAGAUACUGACACUCAGAUGCGAAAGCGUGGGGAGCAAACAGGAUUAGAUACCCUGGUAG